CUGUGCCCGGCCUGACAUUUUUUUAUAAAGAAAGAUGAAGGAACUUUGAAAUGCCUUUCCUGAGCCUGGCUAGGAAAGUGGAACUUGAGUUAUCUUACAGGGUUUAUAGCUCCCAAAGGUAAAGCAGAGACUUUUUGGAGGGGAAAAUUUGAAAAAUUAACUAGUUGACUGAAUUGGCAGGUUAAAAGUGAGUUAAAGUUGACCCUCGAACAACGUGGGUUCGAAUUGUGCAGAUCAGUAUAUAUAUGCAGAUUUUCUUCUGCUUCUGCCAACGUGAGACAGCAAGACCAUCCCCCUUUUCCUCCUCCUCUUUAGCCUACUCAGCGUGAAGACAAGGAUGAAGACCUUUUUGAUCAUCCGUGUCCACUUAAUGAAUAGUAAAUAUAUUUUCUUUGAUUUCUUUAAUAUUUUUAGCUUUGUUGUAAGAAUAAGGUUUAUAAUCUAUAUAAUAAAAUAUGUGUUAAUUGAUUAUUUAUUAAUAUAUCAUCAGUAAGGCUUCCAGUCAGCCAUAGGUUAUUAGGAGUUAAGUUUUUGGGAAGUUUAAAGUUAAUAUACAGAUUUACUGCUACAUGAGGGGUCAACAUCCCUAAUCCCUGCAUUGUUCAAGGGUCAACUAUAUUUUACCUUUUUUUCAGAGUUAACUUCAACUCCUAGUAAUGGAACACAAGGAUAGAGGACCAAAACCAGUGGUAAAAUGCCAUUUAUAUGUGUUACUCACAAGUAAACAUGAUUUGAUAAGCAUCUCAUUGGCACUGUAGGAGAAAAGAGAUUAUAUGACAAACUUUUCUGGAAAGCAAAAGACAUGUCUUCUGACCACUUAUCCAGCAUCUGUGAGAUGGCAGAAUCUAGCUGUGGAGCCAGCUCACCUUGUUCUUCCCU
rnacentral:lncRNA from 1 species